rnacentral:rRNA from 1 species
CACGUAGGGGGCAAGCGUUGUCCGGAUUUAUUGGGCGUAAAGAGCUCGUAGGUGGUUCGGUAAGUCAGGUGUGAAACCUCCAGCUCAACCUGGAGACGCCACUUGAUACUGCUGUGACUGGAGUCCGGUAGGGGAGCGUGGAAUUCCUGGUGUAGCGGUGAGAUGCGCAGAUAUCAGGAAGAACACCAAUGGCGAAAGCAGCUCUCUGGGACGGUACUGACGCUGAGACGCGAAAGCGUGGGGAGCGAACAGG